GCAUAUCAAUAAGCGGAGGAAAAGAAACCAACAGGGAUUGCCCCAGUAACGGCGAGUGAAGCGGCAACAGCUCAAAUUUGAAAUCUGGCCCCUCUCGGGGUCCGAGUUGUAAUUUGUAGAGGAUGCUUUUGGCGAGGCGCCGCCCGAGUUCCCUGGAACGGGACGCCACAGAGGGUGAGAGCCCCGUCUGGCUGGCCGCCGAGCCUCUGUAAAGCUCCUUCGACGAGUCGAGUAGUUUGGGAAUGCUGCUCAAAAUGGGAGGUAUAUGUCUUCUAAAGCUAAAUACUGGCCAGAGACCGAUAGCGCACAAGUAGAGUGAUCGAAAGAUGAAAAGCACCUUGAAAAGAGGGUUAAAUAGUACGUGAAAUUGUUGAAAGGGAAGCGCUUGUGACCAGACUUGGGCGCGGCGGAUCAUCCGGGGGUUCUCCCCGGUGCACUUCGCCGCGUCCAGGCCAGCAUCAGUUCGUCGCGGGGGAUAAAGGCUUCGGGAACGUGGCUCCCCCGGGAGUGUUAUAGCCCGUCGCACAAUACCCUGCGGUGGACUGAGGACCGCGCAUCUGCAAGGAUGCUGGCGUAAUGGUCACCAGCGACCCGUCUUGAAACACGGACCAAGGAGUCGUCUUCGUAUGCGAGUGUUCGGGUGUCAAACCCCUACGCGUAAUGAAAGUGAACGCAGGUGAGAGCUUCGGCGCAUCAUCGACCGAUCCUGAUGUUCUCGGAUGGAUUUGAGUAAGAGCAUACGGGGCCGGACCCGAAAGAAGGUGAACUAUGCCUGUAUAGGGUGAAGCCAGAGGAAACUCUGGUGGAGGCUCGCAGCGGUUCUGACGUGCAAAUCGAUCGUCAAAUAUGGGCAUGGGGCGAAAGACUCGAUAGAAACAUUCUAGUAGCUUGAUCGCGAA
rnacentral:rRNA from 1 species